GACGAACGCUGGCGGCGUGCCUAAUACAUGCAAGUAGAACGCUGUUGAGAGGAGCUUGCCCUUCUUGACUGAGUUACGAACGGGUGAGUAACGCGUAGGUACCCUGCCUUAUACUGGGGGAUAACUAGUGGAAACGCUAGCUAAUACCGCAUAACACCGCAUAACUCCAUUUAUUUAUUUGAAAGUGGAUAUUGCUCCCCUAUAAGAUGCACCUGCGUUGUAUUAGCUAGUAGGUGCGGUAAUGGCUCACCUAGGCGACGAUACAUAGCCGACCUUAGAGGGUGAUCGGCCACACUGGGACUGAGACACGGCCCAGACUCCUACGGGAGGCAGCAGUAGGGAAUCUUCGGCAAUGGGGGCAAGCCUGACCGAGCAACGCCGCGUGAGUGAAGAAGGUUUUCGGAUCGUAAAGCUCUGUUGUUAGUCAAGAACGAGGGUGAGAGUGGAAAGUUCACACUGUGACGGUAGCUUACCAGAAAGCGACGGCUAACUACGUG
rnacentral:rRNA from 1 species